CAUCCCUGUUGAGCUUGACUCUAGUCUGGCUAUGUGAAGAGACAUGAGAGGUGUAGUAUAAGUGGGAGGUGCUUGCACCGUCAGUGAAAUACCACUACUUUCAUCGUUUCUUUACUUACUCGGUUAAGCGGGAAGCGAUCCGAAAGGGUCACGCUUCUAGCCCCAAGCGCGCUGCCUCCUUGUAGCGCGCGAUCCGCUCCGAGGACAUUUUCAGGUGGGUUGUUUGGCUGGGGCGGUACAUCUGUCAAAAGGUAACGCAGAUGUCCUAAGGCAAGCUCAGCGAGGACAGAAACCUCGCGUAGAGCAAAAGGGCAAAAGCUUGCUUGAUCUUGAUUUUCAGUAUGAAUACGGACUGCGAAAGCAGGGCCUAUCGAUCCUUUUGACUUUACGAGUUUUAUGCAAGAGGUGUCAGAAAAGUUACCACAGGGAUAACUGGCUCAUGGCAGCCAAGCGUUCAUAGCGACGUUGCUUUUUGAUCCUUCGAUGUCGGCUUCAACAGGGAUG
rnacentral:rRNA from 1 species